UACAGAGGUCUCAAGCGUUGUUCGGAUUCAUUGGGCGUAAAGGGUGUGCAGGUGGCGCCGUAAGUCGGGUGUGAAAUUUCGGAGCUUAACUCCGAAACUGCAUUCGAUACUGCGGUGCUUGAGGACUGGAGAGGAGACUGGAAUUUACGGUGUAGCGGUGAAAUGCGUAGAUAUCGUAAGGAAGACCAGUGGCGAAGGCGGGUCUCUGGACAGUUCCUGACGCUGAGGCACGAAGGUCAGGGGAGCAAACGGG
rnacentral:rRNA from 1 species